rnacentral:tRNA from 1 species
GAAGUAAGGUGUCCAAGUGAAAGCUGCUAACUUAUCACUAUAGUGGUUAAAUUCCAUUUAUACUUCU